rnacentral:tRNA from 1 species
GGACCGGUUGUCUAGUGGUUAGGAUGACGCACUCACACUGCGUAUGGACGAAAGUCCCGCAAAGGUCAUGGGUUCAAAUCCCAUUCGGUCCA